AUUCCAGCUCCAAUAGCGUAUAUUAAAGUUGUUGCAGUUAAAAAGCUCGUAGUUGGAUUUCUGGGAGGGUGCCAAUGUCCGCCGACGUGCGUGCGCAGCGGCGCCCUUCCAUCCUUCUGUUAACGCCUCUUGGCAUUCAUUUGCCGGUGGCGGGCUCAGAUAUUUUACCUUGAGAAAAUUAGAGUGUUUCAGGCAGGCUAGGCCGGAAUACAUUAGCAUGGAAUAAUGGAAUAGGACUACGGUCUCUUUGUUGGUUUGAGGGACUGCAGUAAUGAUUAAUAGGGAUAGUUGGGGGCAUUAGUAUUUAAUUGUCAGAGGUGGAAUUCUCGGAUUUGUUAAAGACUAACUUAUGCGAAGGCAUUUGCCAAGGAUGUUUUCAUUA
rnacentral:rRNA from 1 species